rnacentral:tRNA from 1 species
GGAGACUUGGGAGAGCGGCUUAAUCCAGGACAUUGCUAAUGUCCCGAGGGAGUAAAAUCCCUCCGUCGGUUCGAAUCCGACAGUCUCCGCCA